GCAGAGAGUGUUGCUUACAGUUGACGAGGGCCAGAUUGUUGGUCACAGUGAAGUGACAGGGAAGGAUGUUAUGAGAUGUACGCUGUCAUCGUGUGACGAGCAUGUGUUGAGUGAUGUCUAGGCAGAGCAGAGCAGUCAAUGUCUCGUUCUGUUUGGCAUACCGUGUAUCGUCUCAUUUACGCUGAUUGUUGUGCACUGUAAAGGGAUACUAGGGGAGCUUCAGUUUCACAACUUUCAAGAUGAACGUUUACUGGAUACCCACAAUCCUCCUCUCCCUCUGCCUCUCCAGUGCUGCCAACAUGAUAAGCUCCCACAACUGUAAAGUAUCAACAAAUGUCACAUCAGGCAGGAUCCAUAGCACUACCAGAACAUUCUGAUAACUGGAACAAAAGCCAAAGGUGGACCAAUCAAAGGGUUGCAGAUCAUUCAAGAUUGUAAUGCGUGCAAAGCUGCAUGGUUUUUCAGGUGGGGAUGCUAGUUGAAGUUGUUUGGAUCUCUCCAAUGCAUUACUCAAACUACUGUAGUUAAACCCCUAUUACAGAUGUGGAUAUGCUUUUACAUCUAUACUGCAGCGAUAUUAUGAAUAGAAUAAGCAGGUGUAUGUAAUGCAUUGACUUGGCUUUUUCCUCAUUUUGAUAGGACUUUGCAGAAAUGAAUGGGCUGGGGUGACAGGGAUGAAACUAAGUGACUCACGUUUUCUAUUCCACACCGUUCUGUGACUGUAUCUCUCCACCACUUUAUGAUAUCUCUUUCUUUCUCUGAACAUGUUCAAUGUGUGGGUUAAAAUACUGUGAAAUUACAAAUCAUGAAAUAUGAAUAAUCCAGAUUUGGGGCUAGGUAAAAUAUAGUGUACUGCAGGAUUCAGCCUCAGAAGCUAUUUCCUUUGUGUGUGUUUUUUACAUUUCCUACACAAGUCACAAGAAUGUCCUGACAACAUAGGAAAACCAGAUAAUGUCCUGAAUUUGUUAAAAUUCUAUUUUAGGCUUACGGAGUUAGGGUAAAUUGGAUUUUGAAUGGGAAUACAUUAAAAAAAGCUGUGUGUGCAUGUGUGCACAUGAUCAAAGUGAAAAGCAAUCUGAAUCUUUUGAAUCCCCUUGAGAUUGCUGCCUGUUGCUUCAUUGUUUGCUAGAGAUGUCAAGGUUUUUUACAUUCGGUUGUGAAUUCAACAUGAAAUCCCCCCCAAAAGUUAGGUUGAAAAAAAAAACGAAAUGCUCUUAUGAUCAGCAACACAUUGCUCAGCAACACAUUCAACGUCAUCACUGUGUAAGGGCUAUUAUACGAGCUAUUUGACCAUGAAGGAGAGUGAUGGAGUGCUGCAUCAGAUGACCUGGCCUCCACAAUCACCUGACCCCAACCCAAUUGAGAUGGCUUGGGAUGAGUUGGACCUCAGAGUGAAGGAAAAGCAGCUAACAAGUGCUCAGCAUAUGUGAGAACUCCUUCAAGUCUGUUGGUAAAGCAUUCCUCAUGAAGCUGGUUGAGAGAAUGCUAAGAAUGUUCAAAGCUGUCAUCAAGUCAAAGGGUGGUUACUUUGUUUAACACUUUUUUGGUUACUACAUGAUACUCUAUGUGUUAUUUCAUAGUUUUGAUGUCUUCACUAUUAUUGUACAAUGUAGAAAAUUGUA
ensembl:lncRNA